rnacentral:lncRNA from 1 species
AUGUUCUCUUUUAUGGCAUCCUCACAGAUGAAGAUGGCAAGGAAGCUCCACAACUGGAAUUUAAGCAUAGCUAUGACUCCUAGAAAACCUCCACAGGAUCAAGAGGAUAAUUCCUUUACCUUGGGGGAACCUGAGGGAGAAGGCACACACACUCCUGCACAAGCCGGCACCAGGCCCUCCAGAAACGCGUGCUCUGGUCCUUAUGCCCACGCCUUGCCCUGCCUGCCCUCUCCGGAUUACUGCAUGCCUGGCUCUGCGGGCGCGGCCACACCUCAGGACAACAGCUGCAGGUCCAGCUGGCUCUCUUGCCGCCUGCAAGCUCUCUUGGUGAGAACAAACACGUCGCCACCGUGGGGUGGCUACGUGACGAGGGGGAGGCCAUCGCUGUCCUGCAGUAGGGAUUCCACCGAGGAUGGAAUCUGUUUUUUCGAGGAGCCUCCAUCCUGACUUCCACAGGUAAAGAAGGAUGAACUUGAGUCAUCUGUAGGGAAACGGAUGCACUUCGAGACCGUAAUGUUGAGUGAAGUAAUCAGACACACAAGCUUAUGUAUCGCGUGAUUUCUCUUAUGUGAGAAGCCCGAAGUAUAAACAAAGAGCAAAGUAAAAGAUAGACAAUGGGAAGCAGGGAGAUGGAUCUUUCUCAAAGGGGAAGGGGAUCAAGAUCUGGAGGGAGGGAGAGGUAGGGAGGAAAGACGGACACAGAAAGAAGUGAGAUGGGUGUGCGGAGCAACUGUCCGGGAGGAUGGACUCGUGAUGCACUGCGCACACGGACUAACAAAAACAAAAAUCAAGAGAAGGACUAAACCAGCGGAAGAUGGAUAGUCGCUUCCUUUACACAGUAACCUCUAGUGUCCUGUGGAGAGAGGCUGAUGUGGAGAAGGUUCGGAGAGGCCUGCCUGUCUCACGGUGGCUUUGUGUGCCCCUGGGGGUAUCGAGGAAGAUGAUGUCGCACCCAUGGCCUGGGUGGAUUCAUUCCUGCGUGCAGGGCCCAUGGCCGCUGUCGUUUUCUUUCUUCCCGUUGGCCGGCUCUCCUCAGAGGUUUUGUUUCCGCGACACAUUUAGAAAUUUGGUUUUUCCCAAAUGGAAUGGUUUCUGCCUAACCCUCCCCAUGCUCCGGGAGAGUCCAGCGUCGCCGUGAGGGGGCUUCCUUGGGCCCUCCUGAGGUGGGGACAGACGGCAAAGGCUCAGCUGGCCCCAGGGACAGGGCUGAGACAGUGGCUGAGCCCGGGCAGACAUGGUUCAAACCCAGUUUGGCCACCUCUGGGCUCCAGCCGGGACUGGAGACAGAUGCUGGAUUUCUCCUCAGGCUGCUGGGAGGGUGAAGGGACAGGAGGUGCCCAAGUGCCCUAAGCAUAUGGCUCUGGGUGGUCACAAAGGUGCUGACAGUCACCGAAGAAGUGAGAGUCCCUGGCCCAGGACUGAGGACGUAGGGUGAAGAAAGCCAGGGCAAGGGGGCAGGAGGAGGGACCCCUACCCUCAAGCACAGGGUGCCCUCUGCCCAGCCCUCGGCUCACAGCCAGGCUCUGGCGGGACCCCCUGCAUGCAGACACCUGCCUCAAGGGAACACUGAGCCCCUUCCUGCUGGAUUCUGCUAGAACCUGGGUUCCACCCUGUGCUUGACAGGGGCCACUUCCACCGCCAGUGCAGGGAGCAUGUAAAUCGCACCAACCACAGAAGGAACCGCAGAAGGCUUUGGACAUCGAAGGCCUGGAGCGAGGAUGGGCUGUUGCCUAACCCAGCAGCGGCUGGUUCUGACUGGAGGGUCCCCCAGACCCACCAAGCAUUGCCAUCAGUGAAGCCACAGCCAAGGAAACACCAGAGUCCAGACUUUGCCAGAGCCGGGGCUGCGGCCCCUGGUUCAUUGUGACAGGAGGGAGGGUGGAUUCCAGCAGCACAAGAAAUCCUUUUGAGCAGCCUUCUGUCGCCUUGGGCUGAAAAUCCGCUCAGCUCUCCUCGGCCCCUCUCUGGGAAGGCUCAGUAUGGAAUGCAUAAUUUAUGGGCACCUCCUAUGCAUAUUCAUGAGCUCAUUGCCUUCCAAGGCCAGCCGGCCGUCUGUGAAAAAUCCCCACAUAAUGAAUCAUUACAUGAGGGUGUGACCCGGCUCCGGGCAGCCCAGUCCUCAGAAUUACCACUGAUCUCAAAAACCUGCUUUGGAGAAAACGCUCCCAACCAUGCUUGCCUUUGCUCAAAUUCGGGGAGACUCAAUGAAGCUUCUCUGGUGGGGAAGCCCUGAUCCCCCAGGCUGUACAAACAGGCUCAUAGGCAGCAUUUCAGGGGAAACUGAGGCAGAUCUCCUUGUGAGUGCUGGGAUUACAAGUAUGAGGCAUCUAUCCAAAAAUGUCUUUCUUUUUUUUCAGACAAGUUCUGUGUCACCCAGGUUGCCCAGGAGCUCUUGAUCCUCCUGCCUCAGCCUCCAGAGUGCAGGGAUUACGAGCAUGCACCACUGCACCCUGCUGUGUGGGACUUCACAACAAGCUCCCAGUGGCCUCUGAUAACAUCGCCUCAGGAGCCAAGAGCCCCUCUGGUGAGGCUCUUUGGCAAGAGACUCUGGUGUCUGUGUCACUUCACCCUGGCUGAGAUCAAGAUUUAAAGAGCGAAUUUGUCUUUCUUGGUGCCCAGGAAAGAGGGGCGCAUCUCAGUCAGGGGAGCCUGGGCGCUGCCAAAGUACUGCUCACUACACACCCCAGCAGGAUGGCGCUCGGCUGGGUGCUCAUCACCACCCUUUCUGGAGAGAAAGAGCCGCCUGCACACCUCACUUUGUCUGGGAGAGCCGAGUCUCUGUGUGCCGCUCCACUCUGUCUGCGGCUCAUUUGGGAGGUCAGGGGCCUUGGGAGCAUUAAAUAAAAGCCGGUUUAUUUGGAUCUGAGGUUGCAGGGAGAUUAAGGUUUUCCCAAACUAGUCACGACCCUACCAAAAUGUUACUCAUGAAGUCCGAGCCCCUGAUUCAUGGGGUACCCCUUCUGGCAUGUCUGGCCGUAAGCAGCUCACAUGACUCAACCUUGCUUUCGCUUAUUAAAGGCCAACCAGCACUUUCCACUCCCAAUAAAAUGUCCUCUUUUUUUUUUGACAGGAUCUCCCCAUGUACCCCAGGCUGGCCUUGAACUCAUGAUGAUCCUCCUGCCUCGGCCACCCUAGUGCUAGGAUCACAGGAGUGUACCACUUGCUGCUUGUGAGCGUGUGUGAGCAAGUGUUCCGUGAGUGUGCAUGUGAGAGUGUAUUCGUGGCAUCUGUGCUGUGCCACACAUCGCUCCCUGAGGGCACCUGGGUGUGUGUGUGUGUGUGUGUGUGUGUGUGAGAGAGAGUGCGUGGGGGGGGCCGUGAAGAGUGCAGCCUGUGUCUGUGAUGCGUGUGUACUUGAGUGUGCCCUGGAGGCCAUGGGCCCACCGGAAAGAGAGAGAAACUGAACCCUUUGGCAAGUGUUAGAGAGUACCCGAGACCGCAGGGCUCAACGCUCAGGGCCAAGGGAACCUGCCUAGAGCCCCAAGACUGCACAGGCCUUGGGGCUCUGGAAUAUGUGUGCGUGUUCUUGUUGUUGAUUGUUUUUGUACUAUGGGGGGUUGAAUCCAGGACCUCCACAUUGAGCUACAUUCCCUACUCUUUUGAAAGUUUUUUUUAACAGGACCCUAUUAAAUUGUCUCAGGCUCUCCGAGUGCUGGCAUUAGGGGUGUGUGCCAUUGUGCCUGGCUUUUUUUCAGACGGGUUCAGGCUAUGUUGCCCAGGCUGGUUUCAAACUCUCAAACUCCUAGGCUGAAGAGGUCCUCCCACUGCAGCCUCUUGGGGGCCGAGUCUGAAGGUGUAUGCCCCACAUGGGCAUAGCAUGUGCCAAUCCCCACCGCAGCUGGACAGUCACUGGGCAAAGGCUUUAGGCACUGAAUGCUGAGGCCAAUGAGGCAGGUGCUCUUUAAGGACCGGCCCAGAACUUCACGUAGCUCAAAGCCAACGGCUUGAGGCUCUCUUAUCUGACUUCCCCAGGCUCCCGAAGGAACAAAGCCCAUCAGAGACACAAAGCCGGUGAUGAGCUGCUGACCGCAGGGAUCACCAGCCAGAGGCCUCCCCGGGCGCCCGGCCAGGCAGUGACUCACACAGCCUCCUACGUCCCGAAGCAGCCAGGCGCAGGGCCACCCUGUAACUUCUCCAUCAGUGUGGGCCACACUGCCAGACUCUCCAAGGCACAGUGGCAAGCGUGGCCAGCGCCCCCGUGCCCUCCGCAGGGCCCUCAUUGCUGCACCCGCUCCUCGGCCCCAGGAGGCCUCGCCACCUCCAGCCUCUCCAGCUCCACCAGACCGUGCAGCUCCCCAGGGUCAGGCCAGGGUCCCCCGAGGAGCACUUUCUGUGCCGAGGGAGGGCUGUGGGUGUCAGACCUGGCCAUUCACCAGCUCUCAGCCUCAGUUUCUUCGUUGGUUGUGAAACAGCUCUGUGUUGAGCCUGGCAGACCCAGGCAGCCAGAUGAACAGCCGGUGGCCCACUCCGCCUGUGGGGACAGCACCAGUCAGCCACCAUGUGGUGAGAUCCGGGAGGGAGGGCCAGCCCAGGGCCCCACCGCCUGUCACGGCAGCUUGGGGACAGAGGCCUCUGGGUGGCCUGUGGGUGCUGGGCACUCUGCAGAGGACGGUAGGGGAGGAUGUCUGG